GUCAGGGUGGCGGAACUGGUAGACGCGCUGGAUUCAGGAUCCAGUGAGCUAACGCUCUUAGGGGUUCAAUUCCCCUCCUUGACACCA
rnacentral:tRNA from 1 species